UUGAACUUUCUAACGCCCACGCUACUCCCAGGGAGAGCUCUUCCCCUUCUCUACUCUCUUCACCUGAUGCUUGUGUAUCAGAUCUCAGCUCCUGCUCUAGCACCAUGCCCACCUGCAUACUGACGUACUCCUCCCCAUGAUGGUCCUGUGCUCUGGGAACCAUAGGUCCCAAGUUAAACGCUUUCUUCUGUAAGUUGCCUUAUCAGGCUGUUUGGUCCCAGCAAGAGAAAAUAAUCAGGAAGAGAGCGCGGUGUACCUAUAGAUGAUUUGACUCUCCUCAGAAGAACAACAAUCCUGACUCUAGUCCCUCAGAGUGCUCCCUCCGAGCAGCCUCCCUCGGACGUGAAAUCCUUUAUUGUCCAAGGAAAGAUGGAGAGACUUCAGUACAUGACAUCACAGGUUGUUUCCAGGACUUAGCAAAAGAAUAAAACUCUACCCUGCUUAGCAUGCCA